rnacentral:rRNA from 1 species
UACGUAGGGUGCGAGCGUUAAUCGGAAUUACUGGGCGUAAAGCGUGCGCAGGCGGUUUGCUAAGCUUGAUGUGAAAGCCCCGGGCUUAACCUGGGAAUGGCAUUGAGGACUGGCAGGCUAGAGUGUGGCAGAGGGGGGUGGAAUUCCACGUGUAGCAGUGAAGUGCGUAGAGAUGUGGAGGAACACCGAUGGCGAAGGCAGCCCCCUGGGCUAACACUGACGCUCAGGCACGAAAGCGUGGGGAGCAAACAGG